rnacentral:rRNA from 1 species
GCUAGUAAUGGCAGGUCAGCAUACUGCCGUGAAUACGUUCCCGGGCCUUGUACACACCGCCCGUCACACCAUGAGAGUUGGGAAUACCCGAAGCCUGUGAGCCAACAGAUUACUGAGGCAGCAGUCGAAGGUAGAAUCAAUGAUUGGGGUGAAGUCGUAACAAGGUAUC